UACGGAAGGUCCGGGCGUUAUCCGGAUUUAUUGGGUUUAAAGGGAGCGUAGGCCGGCUUUUAAGUCAGCUGUGAAAGUCCGCGGCUCAACCGUGGAAUUGCAGUUGAAACUGGAGGCCUUGAGUGCACACAGGGGUGCCGGAAUUCAUGGUGUAGCGGUGAAAUGCUUAGAUAUAACUUAGAACUCCGAUAGCGAAGGCAGCUUACCAGACUGCGACUGACGCUGAAGCACGAGAGCGUGGGUAGCGAACAGG
rnacentral:rRNA from 1 species